GACGAACGCUGGCGGCGUGCCUAACACAUGCAAGUCGAGGGGUAACAUGGGAGUAGCUUGCUACUUCUGAUGACGACCGGCGGAUGGGUGAGUAACGCGUAUGCAACUUGCCUCUUAGUGGGGAAUAACCCGGAGAAAUCCGGACUAAUACCGCAUACACUUAGUUAUCCGCAUGGAUGAUUAAGGAGAGAUUUAUUGCUAAGAGAUAGGCAUGCGUUCCAUUAGUUAGUUGGUGAGGUAACGGCUCACCAAGGCAUCGAUGGAUAGGGGAGCUGAGAGGCUUAUCCCCCACAUUGGGACUGAGACACGGCCCAA
rnacentral:rRNA from 1 species